CCUUAAGGAAGCGUAGUGGUCAAACAGGCUCAGCGGGGAAUGGCGCAAACCAAGCAAGCAAAUCUUGCGGCUGAGAAAAAACGAAUAAACAAAGCAGCGUGACAGAGCAAGCCGCUGGAAAUACACACACAAAAAAAAAAAAAAAAAAAAAAAAAAAAAACACGAAGACACCCUCUGUAACAAUGGCUUUCACCAGCUGCAAGACGGGGUUUGUCACUAUCAUUCCUGACAACAUUUUGAAAUGCUGUGCCGUCACAGAAACCGCUGCAUAAAGCACUGACAGAAGGCAUCAAAUGCACGUGUUCAGCACAGAGAUUGCUGAUUUACCCAACUCUAAUAGGUUGGUACAGGUGUCCAUUUUUUAAUAGUCCCACUUUCACUCUUUUUGCCCCAAAUGAUGGAUCUGCAUGAAGCCAUUCAGUGCAGGAACUCAGAUAUGAAGUUAUCUUCAUAUCUCUUGGGUGGAAGAAUGAGUCCCCUACAGUUUUCAAUCGCAUCUUCAUCCGUUGGAGGAAUGUUUGUGGUUUUCUCGGAUUAAACAGAAUGAACAAAUCCUCAUAUUUCCUCCAAUGAAGACAAGAUGACGAGAAAUAUAGCGAUCAACUCGAAUGGGUAAGUUCUCGUGUUUAAAAAUACCAUGUUUUACAUUUUUGAAUUCCGCUUCAACAGUGGCUGAGCUUGCUGUGAGGCUGCCUGGUGCUUUUGAAGAGGGGGAACCAUUACUCCUGUCCAAAUUGUCUCGUAGGUCAGUUUGGAUCUCGUCAAAAGGAUCCCCUUGACACACUUCCUUUGUGUCUUCAGCUGGAAUGAUGAUGGAGUCUUCUGUGACCUGGUGUUUUUAGGUAUUUUUUUACACCUUUUUGAUUGGUCCAAGCACUGUGACUGAAGCAGCUUUGCGAUUGCCCUGACAAAGGAGUCUUUGACACGGUGUGACUCGUUUUUAAGGCAGUCCCACUCGCAGAUCAUCUUUAUGCAGUGUGCCACAUCCAUCCUGAUAAAACAAGGAGGAAGUUUACAAGACUGGUUCCCAAGUACCACACGGAAGCAUUCGUUAAUGUACGUCUUCAGAUCAGGGGUCGCCAAAUUUGGAGGGUGACUUGGUCCAGGAUCUCCAAUAUCCAUCAAAUCUGAUGCCUCUGUGUCCACACUGCUCUCAGGAUCACUUUCCUGCUCAUUGAUCUCCAAACAUGACCAGAUGUUGUGUCUGUUUAACCUUACAAAAGUGUACAGGGCUUUUGGAGACAUCUUGUUUUCCAGCUGCUGACUUGACUCUGUCCAAAUAGUGGCAGCUGGAGUGGCUAUUUUGCCAUUUAGAACGAUGCACUCUUUUGAAGUGCAGAGAACUGCAAAAAGGGAAUCCCUGUCUACUGAUGGCUGUCGAGGCAUCUAGUUAAAGAACAAAAAGACUUUGAUUAGUGUUAAUCCAAAUUUUCUGGCCUAUAUAAUCUCUCAUGCCAUGAAUAAUUGACAUUAUAGAAUUCAGUUACAACUCAAAACUUCUAUUUAAAUUAGUCUUCUUACAUAAAUCUAUAUG